AUUGAACGCUAGCGGGAGGCUUAACACAUGCAAGUCGAACGAGUGGCGGACGGGUGAGUAAUAUAUCGGAACGUGCCCGGUAGCGGGGGAUAACUACUCGAAAGGGUGGCUAAUACCGCAUACUAUUGGAGCAGCCCAUAUGGGAUUAGCUAGUAGGUGGGGUAAAGGCUCACCAAGGCGACGAUCCGUAGCUGGUGUGAGAGGACGACCAGCCACACUGGGACUGAGACACGGCCCAGACUCCUACGGGAGGCAGCAGUGGGGAAUGUUGGACAAUGGGCGAAACCCUGAUCCAGCCAUCCCGCGUGUAUGAGAAGGCCUUCGGGUUGUAAAGUACUUUUGGCAGAGAAGCGUUACCUGCAGAAUAAGCACCGGCUAACUACGUGCCAGCAGCCGCGGUAAUUC
rnacentral:rRNA from 1 species